CCCAGACAGCCAGGAUGUUGGCUUAGAAGCAGCCAUCAUUUAAAGAAAGCGUAAUAGCUCACUGGUCGAGUCGGCCUGCGCGGAAGAUGUAACGGGGCUAAACCAUGCACCGAAGCUGCGGCAGCGAACGUAUCACUUAAAGCGAUUCAGCGGAUGACGAUUGACGGAGCGAAGCGACGUCAAAGCGUUUUACAACGUCGAGUCGGUUUAAGGAUACGUUCGUUGGGUAGGGGAGCGUUCUGUAAGCCUGCGAAGGUGGCCUGUGAGGGUUGCUGGAGGUAUCAGAAGUGCGAAUGCUGACAUAAGUAACGAUAAUGCGGGUGAAAAACCCGCACGCCGGAAGACCAAGGGUUCCUGUCCAACGUUAAUCGGGGCAGGGUGAGUCGACCCCUAAGGC
rnacentral:rRNA from 1 species